rnacentral:rRNA from 1 species
GUCUGUGUGAAGAUAUACACAGUUUAGCCUGCUCACUGGUAUAAACUAAAGAGCCGCAGUAUUUUGACUGUGCGAAGGUAGCAUAAUAAGUUGUCUUUUAAUUGGAGGCUUGAAUGAAUGGUUGGACAAAGUGUCUUCUGUUUCUUAAGUAAAUAUUGAAUUUGACUUUUAAGUGAAAAGGCUUAAAUAUUUCAAAAAGACGAUAAGACCCUAUAAAUCUUUACAAAAGAUGUAUUUUAGAUUUUAUAUUGGUUGUUGUUUAAAGAAUAAAUUGCAUUUUUGUUGCGCUGGGGCGGCGUAGAUAUAAAGAAAAUAACUGUUUAUAUUUUGUAAUCAAUAAUAUUUGUUUAUAAAGAAUUGAUCCUUUAAAAGAUUAAAAGAAUAAGAUACUUUAGGGAUAACAGCGUUAUUUUUUCUAAGAGUUCCUAUCGAAGAAAAAGUUUGCGACCUCGAUGUUGAAUUAAAGUUUCUUUAUGGUGCAGCAGCUAUAAAAGAAAGUCUGUUCGACUUUUAAUACUUUACAUGAUUUGAGUUCAGACCGGUGUGAG